CGGGGCGUGGCGCAGCCUGGUUUAGCGCACCUGCAUGGGGCGCAGGGGGUCGGAGGUUCAAAUCCUCUCGUCCCGACCA
rnacentral:tRNA from 2 species